rnacentral:rRNA from 1 species
UUUCCGUCACCACCAAAAGAGUUAAACACAGGGACACAUAUGAAGUCUCGGAGCCGGGUGUUGGUUCCGGUAGUGAUCGAGGGAAAUUAGUACCGAAGUCCGGGAUGGAAGAUGGCGAGAAAAGCUGUGUGUAUUUCUGCGGUGCCCGUACCGCAAACCGACACAGGUAGGUAGGAAGAAGAUUCUAAGGCCAACGGGAGAAGGGUUGUUAAGGAACUCGGCAAAUUGACCCCGUAACUUCGGGAGAAGGGGUGCUGCAGCAAUGCAGCCGCAGAGAAUCGGCCCAAGCAACUGUUUACCAAAAACACAGGUUUGUGCUAAAUCGAAAGAUGACGUAUACGAGCUGACGCCUGCCCGGUGCUGGAAGGUUAAGAGGAGAUGUGCAAGCAUUGAAUCGAAGCCCCAGUGAACGGCGGCCGUAACUAUAACGGUCCUAAGGUAGCGAAAUUCCUUGUCAGGUAAGUUCUGACCCGCAUGAAAGGCGUAAUGAUUUGGGCACUGUCUCAACAGCCCGCCCGGCGAAAUUGUAGUACCGGUGAAGAUGCCGGUUACCCGCGACAAGACGGAAAGACCCCAUGGAGCUUUACUGUAGCCUAAUAUUGGGUUUCGAUGUUGCAUGCACAGGAUAGAUGGGACACUGGGAAGCAGGUGCUUUGGCGCUUGUGGAGUGGCCGUUGGGAUACCAUCCUUGCGAUAUUGGAAUUCUAACCUGCGCCUUUGAAUCAAGGCGGGGGACAUUGUUAGGUGGGCAGUUUGACUGGGGCGGUCGCCUCCUAAAGAGUAACGGAGGCGUUCAAAGGUUCGCUCAGCUUGAACGGAAAUCAAGCAAAAGAGUGCAAACGCAGAAGCGAGCCUAACUGCGAGACUGACGGGUCGAGCAGUAACAAAAGUUGGAGUUAGUGAUCCGGUGGUAUGUGAGUGGAAAUGCCAUCGCUCAACGGAUAAAAGUUACCCUGGGGAUAACAGGCUGAUCUCCCCCAAGAGUCCACAUCGACGGGGAGGUUUGGCACCUCGAUGUCGGCUCAUCGCAUCCUGGGGCUGUAUUCGGUCCCAAGGGUUUGGCUGUUCGCCAAUUAAAGCGGUACGCGAGCUGGGUUCAGAACGUCGUGAGACAGUUCGGUCCCUAUCUGUCGUGGGCGCAGGAUAUUUGAUGGGAGCUGUUCCUAGUACGAGAGGACCGGAGCGGACGUACCUCUGGCGCACCAGUUGUUCUGCCAAGAGCAUAGCUGGGCAACUAUGUACGGAUCGGAUAAACGCUGAAAGCAUCUAAGCGUGAAGCCGACCCAAAGAUAAGAUAUCCCAUUGUUUCAAACAAGUAAGACCCCUUGAAGACUACAAGGUUGAUAGGCACGAUGUGUAAGUGGAGCGAUCCAUUCAGCAAGCGUGUACUAAUAGGUCGAGGGCUUGACC